CCCGCCCAGCAGGGGACGGGGGCAGCGGAGGGGCAGCGGGGCCACUACCUCCCACCAGUGGGCUGGGGUCCGGGGACAGAGUGCCAGCCAAGCGCCGCCGGUUUCAGCUUGAACUUGCAUAUGAGCAAUUGAUGGUCUGUUCCACAGUCGGCCCCUGGCCUUGUUCUGACUGAUGAUGUGGAGUUUUUCCAUCGUCUCUUCCCACAGAUGUAGUUGAUUUGAUUCCUGUGUGUUCCAUCUGGUGAAGUCCAACUGUAUAGUCACUGUUUACGUUGGUGAAAAAAAGUAUUUGCAACGAAGAAGUCGUUGGUCUUGCAAAAUUCUAUCAUGCUAUCUUCGGCAUCGUUUCUAUCACUGAGGCUAUAUUUUCCAGCCGUUGAUUCUUCUUUGUUUCCAACUUCGCAUUCCAAUCGCCAGUAAUUAUCAGUGCACCCUGAUUGUGUGUUCAAUCUAUUUUAGACUGAGGAAAUUGGUUAAAAUCUUCAAUUCAUUCAUCUUCAUCUAGGAAGAAGGACCUGGCAGUCUACUUCUGAAAAGAUUUAGCCAGUGAAAACCUACGAAUAGCAGUGGAACAUUGUCUGAUAGAAUGCUGGAAAAUGAGCCCCUCAGGUUGGAAUGCACUCACUCAAAAGACGACUGGGGAAGAGCUGUCCCCUCAAAGAGUCGACCUUAAUGAUGUAGAGUUGAGCUUUCGGGACUUUUCAUUUUCUGAUGUGGCACAACUCAAAAUGAGAAGAAAAAGCUGCAAACAUCCAUUAAUAAUCGGAACGUGGGAUGUACGAAGUAUGAAUCUAGGAAAACUGGAAGUCGUCAAAAAUGAAAUGGAACACAUAAACAUUGAUAUCUUAGGCAUCAGUGAGCUGAAAUGGACCGUUAUUGGCCAUUCUGAACCAGACAAUCACAUGGUCUGCUAUGCUGGAAACGACAACUUGGAGAGGAAUGGUGUUGCAUUCAUUGUCAAAAAGAACAUUUCAAGAUCUAUCCUGAAGUACAACGCUGUCAGUGAUAGGGUGGUAUUCAUAUGCCUAUAAGGAAGAGCAGUUAAUACGGCUAGUAUUCAAAUUUGCUAUGAUGUGAUGGGGUGAGUGUGUUUUACAUGUGGCAAGGACAUGAAUUUUGGGGGGCCAAAGGGUGGAAUGUUAUGGAUUGAAUUGUGUCCCCCAAAAAUGUGUGCCAACUUGGCUAAGCCGUAUUUCCCAGUAUUAUGUAAUUGUCCUUCAUUUUGUCAUCUGAUGUGAUUUUCCAAUGUGUUGUAAAUCCUGCCUCUGUGACAUUGAUGAGGUAGGUUUAGAGACAUUUAUGUUAAUGAGGCCGGACUCAAUCUCCAAGAUUAGGUUGUAUCUUAAAUCAAUCUCUUUUGAGAUAUAAAAAAGAGAGGAGAGCAGAGACACAUGGGGACCUCAUCCCACCAAGAAAGCAACACUGGGAGCUGAAGUUCCUUUGGACCCAAGGUUCCUGCGCUGAGAAGCUCUAGACAAGGGGAAGAUUGAUGACAGAGAGAGAAGGCCAUCCCCUGGAGCUGACGCUCUGAAUUCAGACUUCUAGCCUACUAGACUGCGAGAGAAUAAAUCUCUGUUAGUUAAAGACACCCACUUGUGGUAUUUCUGUUACAGCAGCACUAGGUAACUAAGACAGAAUUUAGUGGAAUGUGGAAUCACGUGUUGUUGUCUGCAUGUGCUCCAAGCACUUGUGGUGGUUUUUGUUGCUGCCGGUGUUUUUAUGGUCACUGAUAUUGGCAAAUUUUCUGGUGUCAUGGUGACAACAUUGCAGUAAUUAGUACUUGUGAACCUAUGUCAAUAACUUUUUUGAGAAUGAAAUAGUAAUUAAAGGAAAAGGAGAAAAAUAAAAAAACACUUCUGCUCAGUUACUAAUAAUGUUGAAACUAAUAAUGUAAUUUAAUGUAGAUUUUGUUGUAUUUAUAUCAUCUAAGAAAUAUUAUAUUUAAGCAAUUUCCGACUAUAUUUACCACAUAUUAUUCUACGGUUAAAAUUAGUACAUUAGUAUACAAAACAUUACUAAGGAUUCUGUGUAGUCUGGUACGGGAGGUUUAUGGGGGAGGGGUGACACCACAAGUUACAGCACUGGGUGGCUGUUAUGGAUUGAAUUGUGUCCCCCAAAAUAUCUGUCAACUUGGCUAGGCCAUGAUUCCCAGUAUUGUGUGAUUGUUCACCAUUUUGUCAUCUGAUGUGAUCCUAUGUGUUGUAAAUCCUAACCUCUAUGAUGUUAAUGAGGCAGAAUUAGAGAGAGUUAUGUUAAUGAGGCAGGGCUCGAUCUACAAGAUUAGGUUGUGUCUGAAAUCAAGCUGUUUUGAGAUAUAAAAGAGAGAAGCGAGCAGGGAGACAUGAGGAACCUCAUACCACCAAGAAAGGAGCACUGGGAGCUCAGUGUUUUCUUUAGACUCAGGGUCCCUGCACUGAGAAGCUUCUCGACCUGGGAAGAUUGAUGACAAGGACAUUCCCCUAGAGCUGACAGAGAGAAAAAGCCUUCCCCUGGAGCUGGCACCCUGAAUUUGGACUUCUAGCCUCCUAGACUGUGAGAGAAUAAAUUUCUCUUUUUUUUUAAAGCCAUCCACGUGUUUAUUUCUGUUAUAGCAGCACUAGAUGACUAAGACAGGGACAUCAACCCUAGUGAUGCCACUGGGACCACCUGGGCCCUCUGAACUCCAUCACUUACACCUGUGUAUUGCUUCACUCCAAGGGAUUUGUCUUCGUUCCUGGAAAUGGAGUUAACUCAUCCGAAGAGGAUUCCUGUGGUUUCACUUUAUGGACAGGGAGAGGCUGAGAAGGCUUCUAUCGAUCUAAGAAAUAAUGGAAUCUUAGGACUCUGGGAAAGGGAAAGGUCAUAAGAAGUCCUGCUGUUUCAGGGGCACCCACCCUGCGCUCUGCUCAAUGAUUUCCAGUUUUCCUGUCCCUGUCCCCUCCCCCUCCUCCAAGUCACUACAGCAGUUAAGAGCUCAGCCUCUGGGUUCCAAUGCCCCUGGGCUGGAAUCCCACCUCUGCACCUUCCAGGUUGGAUAACCCUGGGCAAGUUAUUUCACUGCUCUGACUGGGUUCAGUCCUCCACUCACAGGGUGGUAUUCUCAUCUAUGGGCCAAGCUCUGCAGAUGUUUUCCUGGAAAUAACAGCUGCUUUGAGAAGGGCUACGCAGGCAGCUAGCCCAGGGGCUGCCCUCUGCCAGAAGGGGGUUGAAUUUCCUAAAAGGGAGUUGAACUUGUUCAUUAUGCAUCAUCACUUGCUGUGGGAGAGAGAGCCUUGUGAAAGGUCAUUUUAGGAGAGAGCUGAGAUGAGGAGGAGAAAGGCCCCAUGUCCAAUCAGGCAUCAGUCUAAGAAUAAGGAGUCCUGGUGGUGCAGCGGUUAAGUGCUUGGCUGCUAGGUGAAAGGUCAGCAGUUCAAACCCACCAGCCACUUAAAGGAGGAAGAUGUGGCAGUCUGCUUCCAUAAAGAUUUAUAGCCUUGGAAACCCUAUGGGGCAAUUCUGCCCUGUCCUGAAAGGUCUUUAUGAGUCAGAAUCAACUCGACAGCCAUGGGUUUGGUUUUUUUGGUAUCAAUCUAAGAGAUUUAGGUUCAAAAAGGACCAGUCCACACACACAUAUUUUGACCACCUGUUACCUUCAAACUUUUAAUCAUUCGCUAUGCAUUUAAAAAUCUUUCAUAGAUAACAAAGUUCAUUCUCCUAUCGGCUUUUUUAGGGUUGCCACAGUGAGUAACCAGGUUUGGAUUAAACAAAUCCGUGAUGGAGAAAAAAAGUCAAAUACAACCAGUUACCACCAGUUGCCAACGAAUCGGUUCUGACUCACGUCGACCUCACGUGUUGCAGAGUAGAGCUAAGCACCACAGGAUUUUCAAGACUGAUCUUUUGGGAGUAGAUCGGCAGGCCUUUCGAGGCCUCUCUGGUAACAAAAAAAAAAAACAGAAAACCAGAAAAUUUCUCAAGGAUAUAAUGGCCAGGACACACCAGCUUCCCCAUCCCUGUGGCACAGACUGGCAAAUAUUGAGUCCCCCCGAAUCCCACAACUUCAGGAACUGGUGGCAAUAUGUAUAAAAGAAAGCACUGGAAGGCGAAGAGACCACUUGCUUCAAGUAAAAAAAAACAAAAAUCCAAAAUGGCAGAUCUCUUCUUGGACGGGGAAGAACAACCAUCAGAACCACAGAAAAAUGUAAAAGAAUCCAACAUGGCGGCUGUGACGCUGAAGACGCAUAACUGAUCUUUGUUGGGGUGGAUCAUGUAAACAAAGAUGCUGAAAUUCACUUUGUCAGGGUGAUUUCAAAUUCAAAACCAGUUAUUUCAAACAUUUGGGACAAAGCCACGCAGGGUCCACACUCGAAAGAAAGGCCACCAUAGUCGAGGUAUAGUUCAUGCAUUGCAGCCUGAAAAUCACAGAGGUAGCCAUCUGGCUAGUUUCUCAGCCUGAAUCAAGAUCUACAGGUGAUCCUAUUAUUGAUUGUUCAUUCAUACCUGGUUACAAAUGGAGAUCACCACACAUCACGUCUCAUAAUUCCUCGGAUUUGUUCUCACCACGGACUCAGCAGGUAGUUGGUACCGCUCUUUCUAUAGGUGGUACAGAUGAAAGUCCUCAUGAUUCAAAGCAACUUUCCACUUAUGAUACAAACAGUGGAAAUCCCGAAAGGCUUAAACUCAACGAUGCAAUCCCAGGGGGACAUUCUUUGGAUACUCCAUCAGGUACCCUUCCUACAGUGAACACUAGUAUGCCCUCAGAAGGUGCUCACACCUCAUCAACGCAGCCCCCAGGACAGCACUCCGGACUGGCUGGCUGGGGAAGAGCAGUGUCGCCUUCGGCUGGCAGCAGGCAGACACCGACAGGGCGGGUGAGCCUCCUACCCCUGUCUGCUGGAGUUUCCAAAGGGGCCUCUUUUGGAAACAAAAGGAGGAAGUGAGAUUGGGAGGGAGGGUAGCCUUGGGGACCCUCUCAGGCAGUGGUGAGGGGCCUUGCAAUGAUGAAGGUGCUGCCCUGAUGUUCAGGGGUCUGCUGAGGCCCAGGGCGGGAAGGAAGAGGCCAGGGUCACCGGGCAAGGAAGGAAGAGGGAGGGGCUGACCAGGUCUGGCGGUGACAUGGCUGACCACCACUCACACCACACCUCUGGUGCCAGGACCUCUGUGGACAUUUCCAUUUGUCCCCAUGCUCCCCUGCCUCCAGGGCCAUCUCUCCCUUUACAGUCUGAGAAGGGAGAGACCCAGGGCACCAACCAGGGCACCACAGAGCUGGGAUCUGAACUCGGUUUUGUCGACUCUGUUCAAUGGACUUUUCUAGCAGGACACACCCAGAGGGGCUGGACCUGAGAACCAGGGGACCAGAAGGGGGAGUGGGUUACAGGGGUUAUAGGCCCCCGCAUGAGCUGGGUAGACACUCUAGCCCCCUCACUCUGCCAAUUCCAUGCCCUCCCUGGGCCAAGCAGGCUGAGAUUCAGCCCCUCAGACGGGAGUUCCUGCCUCAAGCAGGCUCAGCCUCUGCAUCUCUUCACUGCCCUCCCCAACUCCAGCCUUGGCCAGGGCCCCAGACAUUUCUCAGAGCAAGCCCCUCUUCAAAGACCCCCAGCUCAGGGAUAGAGACCAAAGGCAACCCUAGUAAAUGAAGGAGCCCCAGGGGACAGGUGGCCCUGGGGGAAGGCAAGCUGGGCCCUGAAGGGGAUGUAGCUGGGGGAAGUGGACAGGCAGGGGCUGGGACCAGGGGACAGCUGGCGGGGCUUGGGGUAUAAGCUUAAGGGUCCAAUGAGAUGGCCUCAGGCUGUCCUGCCCCACGGAGGAGCAUGGGGGCUGGGCAAAACCCCUCCAUUCCAGGGGCACUGACAGGCCAGCACAUCCCACAGACAGACAGACCACACACACACACACACACACCGCGUCAUCAGUGAAACAACCUAGCCAAUAACUCUGGAAAGUUCUGAGAACCAGGCUCCCAGGUCCCGGCAUCCCCCAUGCCUGCCUGAACAAGAUGGCCAAAGAAAUACUCUAGGGUUUUUGCAAGGCCUCAUGGGAUCUGGUAGGGGGUGAGAGGAUCCUGAGCAGAGCCCUCCAGAGUCCUGUUUCUGAAUCAGCCCAGGUUCCCUGGCCUCACCCACCCUCUGGUCCUCCUCCUCCCUCCUGCUCACCCAGGUUUGGCCUUAGGAAGUCAACCCCAGCCCCCAGACACUACUGGGCUCACAGAAAUAUGCACACACAUGUACACAUACCCCCUCUGCCAAGUACCGAUACACAUGCGUGCACAGUGCCUGCCAAGAAAAUCGCGGCUUCCUGUCUCUGGGCCUAGAAACCUCUAGGCAGGCCAGGAAGGCCAUCCUGGCUGUGUGAAGCUCUCGAGGACAGAUGCUGCUCAGCUUUCAGCUUCUUCCCAGCCACCCCUGGGGGAUCUUCCCCACUCCACCUCAGGUGUCACUGAGCACUCAGGGCUCCCUCACCCCUACACCCAGGGCCGCCUCAGCUUCUUGCAGACCAUGGCCUGAAUAGGCCCCUGGGAGCACAGGGUCACAGAGUACAGAAGCCUGGCUUUAUGGCUACUUCUUACUUCAUCCUUCCCAGCAUCCCCAUUUCACAGCUAGGACUGAGAUGCAGAGACAGGAAAGAACCUGCCUACACCCUCAGGCUGAGGAGCAGCAGAGCCAGGGCUGCUGGCAGGGCUGGGGUUGCGAAGGGGCCCCCUGGGGAGAGCCCGGCCAGGACCAGAGUAGACCAGGUCAGGCUUCCUAUAAGGAGCCCUAGUGGCACAGUGGUUCAGCGCUCAGCUGCUAACCCAAAGGUUGGUGGUUUGAACCCACCAGCCACUCCACAGGAGAUGUGGCAAUCUGCUUCCGUACAGGUUAACGCACACCUGUUGCCACUAGUUGGACAAUUCCAACUCAUAGUAACAGCCUUGGAAACCCUAUGGGGUAGUUCUACUCUGUCCUAUAGAGUCGCUAUGAGUCAGAACUAACUUGAUGGCAAUGAGUUUGGUUGGGUUUUUGGGUUCCUAUGUCCCCCUGUGACUUGCACCAAGGUUGCUGAUGGCCCCUGGGGUCUCUUGCAGGGUCUGGCAGGGGCUAGCCUGUCAAUCACCAGCCCCUUCCUCCCUUGGGUCCCUCCCCUAAGGGAAGGGGCCCGCCUCUGGCAACACCCCUUCCCUAUAGCAAUGAGAACCCCUGGCCAUCUGUCCUGAGGCCCAGUGUAACCUCCACCCUCUGCCGGCCUCAGUUUCUCCACUGCCACAAAGACUGCUUGGCAAGUGUUUACACAUACACACACACUACCCCAACCCCAAGCCCUGAAGCCUGGGAACCUUGAACUUGACUUCCUCAUUUCUGUCUUGCACCCCAACCUCUCUGGAUUCCACACCCAGGGAGGUCUGGAUCCUCCCUCAGCCCUGCCUGUCUCACCCCUGGCCCCUAGCCUAGGCACACCCAUGGUUGGGGAGGGGGGCUGGCCCUGACACCAGAGGAGAUGACCACCUCCAGGCCAGGGCCCCAACCAGACUGUACCUGGCUCUGUGCUUGGGCCUGGGGGUAGGGAGUGAGUCAGAGCUGCGUGGGCACUGGUCCUAGGUGUCCACAUGCAAGGAAGUAGUUGGGAGAGAUCUUGCCCCAUCACUGAGCUGCAGCAUUUCAGGGCCCUCACCUUGUCCUUGACUCAACUUUGUUAGGUCCCUUGGCCCACCUGCAGUACUGCUCCACCUCUCUCAGACAGGUGAGGCCUGUGUAAAGGAUGGGGAAGGAAAGGGAAGGCUUCGAUCACAAUCUCCCUGUAAAUCCCCAUCUCAGCUACUCAGCUUCCCUGGCAAGCCCAAGGCUGCCAAUGCAAAUGGCUUUCCUGGCAGCCUGAUGCCCAGGCUGGAGCCAAGUUACAGCAGCAGCAUUCCUCGAGACAAGGAUGGGGGCGGGAGGGGGAGGGACAGGGUGCACACUCCUUACAGCCCCACCUCCAGAGCUAAGGCCUGCAGGGUCACCCCCGUCUCGAUGCUCCAUGGGUGACGUUUGCUCUACAGCAGCCUGACAAAUUUCACUGCUGGAAAGUUCCUCUCACAUCUAGCCUAAAUACCUGAAGCUGCAGAACAAGCCUUGCCUUCUUCUUGUCCCCCCCAGGGCAAGACCAAACGCAGCUGGGCGAGGCUCACUUGGCACCUGAGGCUAGUGGACCCAGAGUCCCAGAGUCAGCCUGUUUGGCUAUGCAGCCACAGGUGUGGGCCUUCCCAGCUUGGACCUCCCUCAGUCUUCUCACCUAUACAAUAGGACUAAAGGCAGGAAGGGGCUAGCCACCACGUGGAGUCAUCACCGAGCCCCCAAGCCCAGACAGACCCUCAGUGCAUGGGGACCCAGGCCUCCCACUCCCAGCCAGCGUGACACAGACCCUUCUUAAGGAGGCACCGUUUUAAUUCACAUUUAGUUUAAAAAUAAAUACUCUGUUCUUCUCUCCCAGAUGGGGGGGUGGGGCUGGACAGUGAGGCAGGGAGGCUGCACAGUAAGGGAGAUAGUCUCUGCCACCUCAGUACUCCCCCGCAAAUGCCUCAGAUGUCCCAUCAUCGCUGUUCCUUCCGGCAAAGCAGGCGUGCAUGGCUGAGGGGAAAAUUCCAUGACCAUGGGCUCCAAGCUUGGGGCUGGGUGCCUGGGGGAGGGUAGCUGGCCCUCCGCCAACCACAGAUCCACAACCUGCUGUCAGCUCUGGUGGUGGCCCGUUAGAUGCAGGUGAUCAGAACGUCCACGGAGGUGGGCACUUCGAUCUCUGCAAACAGCACGCGGCCCCUGGUGGCCCCAGAAUCCCCAGCCUUGGCCGCGGCCCUCAGCAGGCGCUGAGCAUGCUGCAACAGUCGCUGGUUCCGGCGACGGCCCAGUCGGCGCAGCGCCAGCAGGGCCAGCACGUGCUCCCGCCUGCAGAAACACGCAGCCCCUCACUGCAGACCCAGCAACGCCAGUGACACGCCAGGCUGCACUGAGGGGUACCCUAGCUCCUGCGUGUACCCAGCGGUCCUGGAGCCCGGCCUGGGAGGCCAAGCCUGCACAAGGCCAGAAACAGCCACCGGGACACUCUGAAGGCGCAAAUCCCAGCCCCCAGGCCCAGGGGAACCCAGAGGGGGCGGGAGCACAGACCUGACGUCCUGGUAGCUCCCGAUGAGCGUCUCCAGGUGGCGGCCGAUGUCGUCCUUGUACGUCUCACCCAGGAUCUCAGACACGCACGGGAUGGCCUGGUCCAGCCACGAGGCCUCCGAGCCCUGCGGGGACAGGGAGGCGCCUGAGGCAUACGCCCCAAGAGCCCCGGACGCCCCACCUGGAACCCCGCAUGAGCGCACCUUUCCGCCUUCAUGCAGCCACCACCGACCCCUUCCACCCCCUGUGACGUCCUACACAGAGCGCAACGUGGGCCUCUGCACUGUCAGCCGCCACACAAGAAGUCCCCAUGCCACAUCCCCAAGAUCCAGCACACAGAGGUUCUUCCUGUCUCUGCGUUGAUGGGGAAACUGAGGCCUGGGCCAGGAAUUACACAGUCAGCUGGAGGCCAGCAGCCCAGAUGAGAGUGUGUGGCUGGAGGGGGGAGUAGAGGCGUCCCACAGGCCCCACCCAUGGGGGGGCUGCGCCUGCAAACUGCACGUGAAUGUGAAGGACUGCCGCCCCACCUGGCCUCGUCCCUCUCCUGCCCCUUCUCUAUCAGAACCCAGGAUGCUUGGCAAAUGCUGGAGCUGCAGGCAGGAGGUUCCCAGCUGAGGUAAGUGCCCCGUGGCAGUGGCCACUGCUCCUACCAGGCCCUGGAAGGUGUCGCCAAUGGCCUGGGCGUCGAGGCUCAUCUUAUGGGAGCCAGUCAGGCGCUCGACGCCCCGGAACCGCUCGCGUGGCCUCAGCGCAUGCACCAGAUACUCGCGGACCACGAAGCGGUGUGCCUCGUUCAGGAUCUCCUGGUGGGUAGAAGGCAGGGGGGGCAGGGUCAAGGAGGCAGUGCCCCCGAAUCCCAAAGUGGGCACGUCCCAGCCAGGGCCCGCCCCCUUCCUGUACCUGCCCCGGGGAUGGAGCCAAGAGCUCGAGAUGGCGGCCAAAGGCCACCACCUUGUCCAUGACAGGCUGAAGCACGUCUUGUGUCAGCCAGGCCUUGGUGCACACAGCCCUGAAGAGUGGCUGGGGGUGGAGAAGGGGGUCAGGAGUCUUGAACCUCAUCCUGUCCACCCACCAGUCCCUCCCCUCGACCCUUCCCUUGAAGCCCAGUCCACAACUCCUGGCAGGGGCUAUCAGGCCCAGCAACAUGUGUCACCAGGAAGGAAAUUUGGCGGGCUACCUGAUGCCCUUCUCUACCAGGCUGCCUGGUGCCACUUCGUCUCAAGCCAUGAGUUGCAUCACUAGGCCUUUGCCAAGAAUGCCUCCUCCAGGCCUGAAGCUCCAGCCUGCAGGGUUUGAGUGGAGACUCUACCCCGGCCCUACUUAGGGUGUGUCCUGGACAGGCUGGGGCAGGGGCCCAGGCCUGGCUCCCUGGACACACCAUUCUGGGGCUAGGUCUUGACCACUAAGAGGUACAGACUGAAGUGAGGUGGGCACAUCCCAACCGACCCUGCUCAUCUGGGUCCCCUGACCAUCCUGACACACAUCCCCCUUGAACUUGCCCUGGAAGGAAGUAGGUGCUGUGACCUGGGCCCACAGGCUCCAGGGCACAGGGGCACCUGCUGGGCAUGAGAAGUGAGAAAGAGGCAGGCCUGAAAGGUGACAGGGCCAGCACCCCCUCACCUGGACAUCACUCUGAAAACCCUGUAGUAUAUGCUUCUGGAAGCUGGAGGUGGUAGCUGCCAGGGGCUUCUCCAGUUCCUCAAAGAUGCCUGGGAACCUGGCCAGAAGACUGGUCCUGAGGAUGAACCAGGACAGGUAAAGUGGGGGGUAACGGAGGGAAGGCUAGAGGAACCAGGCCCUAAUUGCAGCCACAGUCAUGCAGGCUGGACACCACAACUCUAUUUGCUUAGACUACAGUGUGAAGGGCAGCCCCAGGAGCUAUACAAUGUAGUACCCUUGGAGCAGAAUCAAGGAGGGGACCUUACCAAGGGCCUAGGAGCCAGUCACGGAGGGCUCAGUCAGCAGGGUUGUGGUGGCCCCACCCCAUGGCAGAGCUCCCCUCAGGCACCUCUGGGCUGAACCCUCUCAGUGGCAGGACAGUGCAACAUGCCAUGCCUGGCAUAGGUGGGGCUCUCCUUUGAGCCUCAUGAUUACUCCCCUAAAGGUGAUAACGUUCCCAUUUCACUGUUGAGGAAACUGAGAGCUGAUCUGUGCUCAGACCCCACAGCCUAUCAAGGAAGGCUCCCUGCCUGAGCCACCCCCAGAUGGGGCGGGGAGUGCUACUUGGGCCAGGAGCUAGAUCUGACUGAACCCCCAGGGUCCCCAGUGCCUGGUAUGCCACCCUCAGAUGGAAUGGGGACCACCCCUGUGCCAGGGAGUGGGUCUGGCUGAACCCCCAGAGUCCCCAGUGCCUGGCAUGCCACCCUCAGAUGGAAUGGGGACCACUCCUGUGCCAGGGACUGGGUCUGGCUGGAGCCCCAUGGUCCCCAGUGCCUGCCAUGCCACCCUCAGAUGGAAUGGGGACCACUCCUGUGCCAGGGACUGGGUCUGGCUGAACCCCAGGGUCCCCAGUGCCCAGGACCAGCCUGGCACUGAUUAGGAAUUGGAGCAUUAGAGAAGCAGUGCCUGGUUGUGGUCAUGCUUUGAACCCUGGAAGGCCUGGUUCAAAUCCCAUGUCCACCACUUAUUGGUUGUGUGAUUGUGCCCAAGCGACACUUCCUUUCUUAUCCAUAAAUGGACUCACUGCAGUCAUGAAAUCGCACCAGACCUGUUAAGCACCAGCACAGUGCCGGGCACAUCACCAGUGCUCACAGAGAGUCAAUGUGACCGGAAUUCCCUGAGCCACUGAGUCCCAACACAGCCCUAGAGAGCUGGCUCUCUGAUCCCCAUUUGACAGAUGGAGAAACAAGGCUCAGAGAGGUUAAGCGACUUGACCUAGGGCAGAAAGCCACUAAGUGGCAGAGUCUGGACCUGAACCCAGAGAGAAUGGCCCCAGAGUCCAUGAACUCAGUGACUGGUGUGCCCACAGGGGGUAAUAUUGAAGCUCUGCCUGGGGCUGAGGACACGGAAGAGGGCAGCCAUAUUCCAAACCACAGAGAAGGUCUCCUGGGAGCAGACAGAUCCAGGCCCAUCCCUCAGCAUAGCCCAGGGUGGGGUAUCAGGGACAGCUUCCCGGAGGAGGGGGUGUCCCUGACAAGGAAGGAGAAGGCAGGCUGGGAUAAAGGGAGGAAGGAAGCUGAAGGAACCCAGAGUGGCAGGGCCGGACUGGGCAGGUGGCAGACAGGGACUGAGGCUACCAGAACUCUUUGCUCAGCUUUAAAACCUUUCCCACAUCCCUUCCCAGGCUUCAACUGCGCUGCCCAUUAAGGAGGGGGGAGGAGGGGCGCCGGAAUGGGAGCUGGAUAGGCCGGUCCCUGGAGACCUCCUGCGGAGCCUGCCCCGUCCUCAUUCCAG